AAGGUGCAUCGCCGUCGCCAGUUCGUACUGUGACGCAUCCUGUUAAGUCAGGCAACGAGCGAGACCCAUGCCUACAAUUGCCAGCAUGGCCUUCGGGACGAUGGGUACAUUGUAGGGACCGCCGCUGCUAAAGCGGAGGAAGGAGGGGUCAACGGCAGGUCCGUAUGCCCCGAAUCCCCUGGGCGACACGCGCGCUACAAAGGUUGGGACAGAGGGUUCCCACCCCGAAAGGGGGAGGCAAUCCCGAAACCCAACCGUAGUUCGGAUUGAGGGCUGUAACCCGCCCUCAUGAAGCUGGAUUCCGUAGUAAUCGCGGGUCAACAUCCCGCGGUGAAUAUGCCCCUGCUCCUUGCACACACCGCCCGUCAAACCAUCCGAGUGGAGGCCGGGUGAGGGGCACCUUUUUGGGUGUUUCGAACCUGGUUUCCGCAAGGAGGGUUAAGUCGUAACAAGGUAUCCGUAGGGGAACCUGCGGAUG
rnacentral:rRNA from 1 species